rnacentral:sRNA from 1 species
AUAUCUCUCCGUACGGGAAGGAUGAGAAGCUUCGAUUAAGGUUCGAUUCGAGCGCAGCGAG